rnacentral:rRNA from 1 species
UACAGGGGGUGCAAACGUUGCUCGGAAUUAUUGGGCGUAAAGCGCGCGUAGGCGGCUACUUAAGUCGGAUGUGAAAGCCCUUGGCUCAACUGAGGAAGUGCACCCGAAACUGAGUGGCUAGAGUACGAAAGAGGGUCGCGGAAUUCCCGGUGUAGAGGUGAAAUUCGUAGAUAUCGGGAGGAACAUCGGUGGCGAAAAGCGACUUUCUGGUCCUUAACUGACGCUGAGGCGCGAAAGCAUGGGGAGCGAACGGG